GACAGAGGGUGCAAACGUUGCUCGGAAUUACUGGGCGUAAAGCGCGUGUAGGUGGACCAGCAAGUCAGGCGUGAAAUCCCUAGGCUCAACCUAGGAACUGCACCUGAAACUUCUGGUCUUGAGUGGUGGAGAGGAAAGCAGAAUUCCUGGUGUAGAGGUGAAAUUCGUAGAUAUCAGGAGGAACACCGGUGGCGAAGGCGGCUUUCUGGACACUUACUGACACUGAGACGCGAAAGCGUGGGGAGCAAACAGG
rnacentral:rRNA from 1 species